ensembl:misc_RNA 7SK 7SK RNA
GGAUGUGAGGGCGAUCUGGCUGCGACAUCUGUCACCCUAUUGAUCGCCAGGGUUAAUUCAGCUGAUCUGCUUGGCUAGGCGGGUGUCCCCUUCCUCCCUCACCGCGCCAUGAGCGUUCCUCCAGAAGCUGAGCGCUCUCCACCGUGGAAGAGGUCGGCCAGACUGACCGGUCUUUGGUCGAGGGUAUACGAAUAGCUGCGCUCCCCUGCUAGAACCUCCAAACAAGCUCUCAAGAAGUUAAAAUUCGCAAGGACCUGAGGAAGGAUCCUAGUUCGUACCCCCGGCUCCCCACCUGCAGGGGAGUC